ACAUAUACCUGGCAGGGGAGACACCAUGGUCAAGAAGGUGGUUCACCCAAGGACAAGUGAGGCCAUUGCACUCCGGGCCAUGCUGACCUUUGCGAAUUCCCCAAAUGUGGGAAUCUCGACUGCAUAAUUUCUGGUAGUGGGAACUGCGUCCGCGCUCUCCCUUA